rnacentral:lncRNA from 1 species
UUCCCGCUCUUUUUGAAGAAACGCAUUUAUGACUGAUCGCUCAACACCUUGUUGGUUCUGAUUGCAGGAAACACACCUUAUAAAUAUACGAUAACCAUCCUGUAAUAGUGUGACAAUUUAGUUCACAGUGCGUUUCGGGCUGCUAAUUGAUCGUUUCAGUCCAGGGACGAUUUGGAAUAAAUUAUAGCCAUCAAAAGGAUAUCACAGCUCAUUUUGGUGGAAGGAUUUCCACGUCGCCUCGCGUUAGUCAGAGAGCCGAUUGCUCCCGGCGGGCAGAGAGGAGGGGAGGGAACCGGCCCGGGAAAGGAGUGGCGGCGUUGGGUAGGGGGAGCGGGACAGGGCGGGGCCUAAGAGCCCGAUGGGCGGGCCCGGCGGGGCGGGGCGGGGCGAUGGGCGGGGCCGACGGCGGCGCGCAAGCGGCGGCUGCAGGUCCGCUGCUGGACGGUAGAGGCCUCCCUUCCGAGGCGGCGGCGCGGAUGCUACCUGCUGGCGCUGGGCACCCCGGCGCGAGCCCUCGCGUCUUUCCCGGUGAGGUCCCUACGCUGCGCGGCCCAGCCAGGCCCAGUGUUGUAUCUCCUUUCCCUUACCUGCUAUUUGCCUGCCCUCACUGAAGCAAGCGCCCUGGAUGAAGAUACUCCUAGUCUUUGGCAAAAUUUGGAAGCAUUUCCUCCAGCUCUCUGUCCAGAAGUUGCAACUUGCCUGCUCAGGAAUCUAAUUCUUGUUUCCAGAAUGCAGAGAGAACCUCCUAUUUUGUGAAAGACUGAUGUUAGUUGCAGGAUACCUGAAUCUAAACGAUGUCUAUGUCUUCAGCCUUUUAGCUCUCUAGAAAAUAGGUGUAGAGCUAUUGAGACCUGUUUUCUACAAGUCAAGUAUUGAGAAUGAGAAAUUGAGGUGGAGGGGAUGUUCUCUCUAUACAUUGAGACCAGGACCAGUUAGCACAUUAAUCUUAAACUGGUUCUUUAUACUCUUUACAGCUAUGUAUUGUUACUGACCCUUUCGCUCUGGGAAUAAUGGGAGAAAAGCUCUGUCUUUUCUGUAUAUCUUACCCCUUAUCUCAUGUUCCAUAGAAAUUUUUGCUCUCUGCAAAUGCCUGCUUCUCCGACUCCAGCAGUAGUGUGUGGGUAUUAGUUUCAAAGUGGGAAAUGUUGUUUUCAGACUCAUCCCAACGAGAAAGUCUCUCUUAGCAUCUUAAAUCCAACCCAUGUUAAUUUCCUCAUCCCAGUGAGGUUUGGGAACAAAUGACAGGACAAUAGAAAAACAGCUUACCCCAAACCUAUGGCCAAAGAAAAAUGGAAAAUCCACUGUCAAAAGGUUUUCUUCUCAAGUUUCUCCUUAAGUUUAGAAACAGAGUCUUACAGGCUGUGUUGCAUGUAGACAGUCAUAGGCUAUAUAAAAGAUCUACAGAUUGAUCACACUUUGCCUGCUCUGAAAUCACAUUUACUAUAGUAUUGUGAUUAAGAUUAAAAGGAAAGUUACAUGUGUGGUUUCCACAUUGCAUGUGAUACACUGCAGAUCCUCUGUGAAUUUGCUUGCCACAAGGAAAUCUUGGCACAAAUAGUAUAUGAGGCAUAUUUUACACUCAAGUUUAGAAAAUUGUACUUCCUGAUUUCUGGGAGUUUGAAACUCAUUUUGCAUUGAAUUUCUAGGUUUUCAUAAAAUGAAGUAAUAAACCUCACCAACUGAUUUUCUGUGGAAGAAAU